UAUUGCUCUUGAACGAGGAAUCCCUAGUAAGCACAAGUCACUAGCUUGUGCUGAUUACGUCCCUGCCCUUUGUACACACCGCCCGUCGCUACUACCGAUUGAAUGGCCUAGUGAGGCCCUCGGAUCGGAGGCGGGGUCUGGCAACAGACCCUGUUUUCGAGAAGUUGGUCAAACUUGGUCAUUUAGAGGAAGUAAAAGUCGUAACAAGGUUUCCGUAGGUGAACCUGCGGAAGGAUCAUUACCAAUCUUUGGUGAGCCUGGCAUCGUCUAUGGUCUCGUCAGACCCUUGUAUUUAAAACCCGCUCAUAUAAAUUGUAAAACAUGUAUAUUAUCAUAAUGAUAAAGCUAAAAAGAUCACUUUCAACAACGGAUCUCUUGGCUCUCGCAUCGAUGAAGAACGUAGCGAAGUGCGAUAAGUGGUGUGAAUUGCAGAAUUCCGUGAAUCAUCGAAUCUUUGAACGCAAAUUGCACUCCCUGGCAUUCCGGGGAGUAUGCCUGUUUGAGGGUCAGUAUACAUAAAAUCGGAAUGUCGCUUUUUUUUGUUGCAUUUCGGAAUUGGGUCAUCUUAACCUCCCGGGUUUAAGAGGCCUGAAAUUGACGUUUUAUUUGUCAUCCUGGACGUGUAUAAAAUUUCUUAACCGUUUCGGGUGUCAAGUCCUCUAUUAGGUACGAUCACGUCGUGUGACUUCGUGCCCAUAAACUUCGUUGAAUGACCUCAAAUCAGGUAGGGACACCCGCUGAACUUAAGCAUAUCAAUAAGCGGAGGAAAAGAAAAUAACAAUGAUUCCCCCAGUAACUGCGAGUGAAGAGGGACAAGCUCAAAUUUUAAAUCUGUCAGGUGUUACCUGACCGAGUUGUAAUUUGAAGAGGCGUUUUCCGCGCGUUCUGGUCAGCCCAAGUCCCUUGGAAUGGGGCAUCAUGGAGGGUGAGAAUCCCGUUCGGUUGAUCAGUUGCGUGUACGAUACGUUUUCAAAGAGUCAAGUUGUUUGGGAUUGCAGCUUAAAAUGGGAGGUAAAUUUCUCCUAAGGCUAAAUAUUGGCGAGAGUCCGAUAGCGAACAAGUACCGUGAGGGAAAGAUGAAAAGCAUUUUGAAAAGAAAGUCAAAUAGCACGUGAAAUUGUUGAAAGGGAAACGAUUGAAGUCAGUCGUACCGAUGGGCAUUCAACUCCUCGGGCGCGAUUAUGUGGGUGUUGGGGAGCUUAACGGCCCUCGCGUUUGCGUAUUUGUGCCCUUCGGGUGUACUUGCCCGUAUGGUAGGUCAGCAUCAAUUUUGGACAUCAUAAAAUGACGGGGGGAAAGUAGCUUCGAUCUCGUAUUGAAGUGUUAUAGCCUCUGGUAGAUGUGAUGACCGGGAUUGAGGAUUGCAACGAACCCUUCGGGGCCACUCGUCUGGUCUCUGGUGGUUGCUUUGGUGCCGAAAGCGUGCUUAUGGUUAUCAAAGUUGAUUGCCAAAAGGUUAGAACGGGUUGAAUUCGUUAAGGAUGCUGACGUAAUGGCUUUAAACGACCCGUCUUGAAACACGGACCAAGGAGUCUAACAUAUAUGCGAGUGUU
rnacentral:rRNA from 1 species